GAUGAACGCUGGCGGCGUGCCUAAUACAUGCAAGUCGAGCGAACGGACGAGGAGCUUGCUUCUCUGAUGUUAGCGGCGGACGGGUGAGUAACACGUGGAUAACCUACCUAUAAGACUGGGAUAACUUCGGGAAACCGGAGCUAAUACCGGAUAAUAUUUUGAACCGCAUGGUUCAAUAGUGAAAGACGGUCUUGCUGUCACUUAUAGAUGGAUCCGCGCUGCAUUAGCUAGUUGGUAAGGUAACGGCUUACCAAGGCAACGAUGCAUAGCCGACCUGAGAGGGUGAUCGGCCACACUGGAACUGAGACACGGUCCAGACUCCUACGGGAGGCAGCAGUAGGGAAUCUUCCGCAAUGGGCGAAAGCCUGACGGAGCAACGCCGCGUGAGUGAUGAAGGUCUUCGGAUCGUAAAACUCUGUUAUUAGGGAAGAACAUAUGUGUAAGUAACUAUGCACAUCUUGACGGUACCUAAUCAGAAAGCCACGGCUAACUACGUG
rnacentral:rRNA from 1 species